AGUGAACGCUGGCGGUAGGCCUAACACAUGCAAGUCGAACGGCAGCACAGUAAGAGCUUGCUCUUACGGGUGGCGAGUGGCGGACGGGUGAGGAAUACAUCGGAAUCUACUUUUUCGUGGGGGAUAACGUAGGGAAACUUACGCUAAUACCGCAUAUGACCUACGGGUGAAAGCAGGGGAUCUUCGGACCUUGCGCGAUUGAAUGAGCCGGCGUCGGAUUAGCUAGUUGGCGAGGUAAAGGCACACCAAGGCGACGAUGCGUAGCUGGUCUGAGAGGGUGAACGGACACGGUGGAAGUGGGAAACGGGCGAGAAUCCGACGGGAGGCAGCAGUGGGGAGUAUACCAAAAUGGGCGGAAGUGUGACCGAGUAAAGCCGCGGGAAGGAUGAAGGUGAUCGGGUUCUAAAGCUCUGUUAUCAGGAAAGAAAAAAAGCGUAAGGAACUAUGCACGUGUUGACGGUACCUAAUAAGAAAGCGACGGCUAACUACGUG
rnacentral:rRNA from 1 species